rnacentral:lncRNA from 13 species
AUGUACAUUAAAAAUAUAUUACAAAUUAAAUUGUUUGGGGUCGAGAUUUUAGACGAGGAGCUACAACUUAAUAAAUGGCUCAUAUCUGAAAUGAUAAGUAUACAUAAAUAAAUACAAGAAAUGAUUAAAUUUGUAAAAUGUUACAAACUCGAUCCAAUAUAUCUUGAUUUAAUUCGGUAAACUCCAAUUCUUUUGUACACGUUAAUACUGUGUAAGUAGAGGGAAAGAACAGAAAGGGGAGAUACAUCUACAUACUUCUUUCCCGACACAUCAUUAGUAUUACUAUAAACUCAUAUUACACACAUACUAAGUUUGACCUCUUCCCAUAAUUGUUGUUUAUAAUUUCUUUAUCAUCUAUUAAUUCUAAAUGCCGCAAUAAUAUACAAAUUUUUAAUAAUAUACACAAUUUUUGACUUAAAUUAUCAAAAAAUCUUUACAUUAUUGUUAAUAGACUUAAUUAUGUACAAAUUUUAAUUUUGGACGUAGAUACAAAGGAGAGCUCACAGUCGUUAAAUUUGCACCGGUUCUUGUUCAAUAUUUAACUGAGGAGGAUUCACAUCAUGGAUCGAAACAUCUGGACGUUAUAACACUAAUAAAUUUGCAUGUCACCAUCGAUUUCGUUAGAUGAAAAAUGCAGAUUAUAUUUGUUAUUACUGAUAACAGAAAAUCUAAUAUAAUAAUCUUAUUGUAUUCGCACCAAUAAUCGCGUCGGCUCGCAUUGGCAAAUUAAUUUGAGUUAUUUUUUUAUUGAUUGAUAAUAUUGAUAUUAAAUAACAUCGUUAUACUAGUAUAAAUUAGAUUUAUACUGAUUCAACGUUAUACAAAUAUUUAUAUUAAUUAUUUUUAAUUUUUUUUAUUAUUAUAUUAAAAUAAAAAGACACCAAUAUAUUAGUGGUUCUUUUUCUAUUGUUUUCAAUCUUUUAACAUAACGUGCACGAACAAUCUUUAUAAGUCGUGUCGCACAUUAUAUUUUGUGUUGGAAAUCAUCUUAGUUGCUGCUUUCUAAUUAAGUGUAAAAACAUAAGUAUGUUACUAUUAACACGUUGUGAAAACUAAAUAACUGUAAUAAUUAGAAACAUAAUAGUUAUAAGCUUUAAUUGACGGUUUCGUAUUACAGUUGCAGACACGGAUUAUUUGAUUGUCCGGCCUUCUAAGUUUCACUGACUUGGCCAAAAUUCAAAUUUGAUUCGAAUAAUGUGUAGGCGUGAGUGUAGCGAGCCGAUGUUAAAAUGUUAUUUAUCCACGUCAUUCAAAUAUUUCAAAAUAUAUAAUUUUGUUUUAAUCUAACAUAUCUCUGUCUAUCAACAUUAUUUAUGCCUCUGUCUAUUGCAUAAAGCUCGAUGCCAGACUAAGACAAGUCUAGUUUAGCAAUUUGCUGUCUAUUCCUUCCUCUUCUUUUCUUUCUCAGAUUACAGUUUUAUAUACGAUAUAAACCUGGAGGAAAAAAACUUAUCGCGGCCAAAGUCAUCUACAAGUGACGUUGAUGCAACCAAGUCUAAGUAAGCUAGCACACUCCAGUGCUCCCGCAGUUUGCUCGCGUUGAGGGACAGGAGGGGAUGGGAUGGCAAUCGAGCGUCAUUGGCUUCCGACGAUCAGUGCAACAUUUUCAUUGCCGUUAGCCACGACAUAUUACUCGUGUUUGAAUUUCGCUCAACUCAAGUGAACUCGGUCGAUCGUUUGCGAGCGUAGCCUUAGAAAGGCACAGCCUUCCAAGAACGUCUGGAAGUAUUAGAGACGCAUGCUACGUCUGUGCCCCUUUAAAAGCUAAAACUACCACUGCAAGUCCGCCACCGCAAUGUGGGUCACCAGUGCGCAAGGGACGAAAGAGCGGGGAAGGGAGGAAGAGAGGCGAUAGAUCUCGGGUCGGAGAAUAUCGUCUUUCGCUUGAGUGCCCGUUAAUUCGUCCGGCUUCACGAAUCUUCGCAGAUCGGAUCCAAACGCUUCGUGAAACGGAAUCACAGGCCAGUUACGGGCCAAAUAUGGUCGAUAUGAAGCUAGAGGAUAUGUGACUAUCGCUAACGUCAACUGUCGUACCGUCGACGCCAGAAAGAUGGGUCAAGAAUCCCGGGACAGCGGUGACGAUCACGAAUUGUGACGGAAGGCUACAGUUUCGCAUUAUGAUCCAUCAGCAUCGGUCAUCACUCAGUGACAGUAGAAUAUCAUGAGAACUCGGUUGCCGGUGCGGUGCCCGUAGUCGUAUCCGUGAAUGUAGAUUCCCGUAAUGCGCGUUUCGCGGGUUAUGUUACACACACACAGUAACGAUAAAAGGUAUUAUCGGACAGCCGUGGAUCGGACGUGAGCAUAAGUGUGCGUUUGUGGAGCGAUCGUAUGGCGCAGCGCGACACGGCAAUAAUAAAUUUUCAUAAAGAAACACACACAAAUCUCAAACGGAACAUCGGUAAAAAUAGGGAAGAGUGAGUGAAAAUGAGAGAAAGUGAAUAAAAAAAGAGAGAGAGAAAGAAAGAGACGGCGAGUGUCGUGCUCCCCGCACGUAAGCAACACCGCGCGCACACCGCUCGACACCCGCUGCCGAUUCCCACUUUUCUCCUCUCCGGUCACGGCGGAGCGCAAUGCAACCCCCGUGCAACCCUUCAACCCCCACCGCCCCGUCAUGAUGGUGGAUGCGCGCGCCCCUUUUCGCUAUGUGCGCGCGCGUGCCUCUCCAAUUCUCACGCUAAAAAUGUGAAAUUUGUCGCGGGAUGUGCGCAAGACGAGACGAAUUACGGCGCCGCGCGGAAUUCUUAAUAACUUGUGUUAUCCAUGCAUACUCAAUCACGAUACAGUUGUAAAGUAAUAAUUAUUUCCGUAUAUAGAAAAUAGAAAUUGUUCACGGCGAUAAAGAAUCGUAUGAAUUUUUACGCGCCUCGAAUAAUCAUAAUAUGAUGUAAUAUCGUGCGCGAUAUGUCAAGCAGACAAAAUUCCGACAAAUUGAGUUGUCUUAGUUGAAGGGUCGAAUGAUUUUGAAUAAAAAUUCAAACUAAUAUAAAAAUGAAUAGAAAAAGACUCUUCUCCUGAUUCUUUAUAUGUACGAGAUUGGAAGAAAUUGUCGAUUCACAAAGAUCUCAAAGCGCAAAAAUUUCGUACAAUUCAUCGUUAUCAUGCCGCCGCAUAGCAUUAUUCUAUCGAGCAUUAUUCUAGAUUCUGCUUUCCGCAUCGUUGACGACGCAUGCGUGGGUUAGAUUUUCUUUUGGCAGAGCUACAAGAACGAAAACUGCGGUGUCUAUCUUUCUACGGUGCGCACGUUUUUCUUGUAUAUUAGGCAAACAAGUGCUUUUAAACACGAAUUACAAAUUAGAAAGUGUAAGUGUCAUUUCAGUAAGUAUAUCUUUUUCACUCCCUCUCGUAACAAAUGUGUCAGAUAUUAUCAGCAUUAUAAAUAGUCGAUUAUAAUUAGACAAAGAUUCUAAGAAUUUUAUCUUGUUUUUACCAUAUACAUAUUAGUAGCUUCUAAUAAUAUCGUAUAAUAGUAGCUACUAAUUCCAUAAUAUAAACGAUAUCCUAACAAUGUUGUAUGUAUAUAUGCAACAGCCAAAAUUGACGUUUAUUUCACAUCGUCAGUUAUUGCAAUAAAUAUUACCAAGUACUUUUGGUGGUCGAACUGGAUAUGACACCUGUCCGGAGAGUUCAAAAAUCCAGGCUCAAACCCUAAUCGAGUUAAUAUUUUUUGCAAUAAAUUACUUACAGUUUUUUGGGAUAAAGGGAGAUAGUAGAGAGCUUGUAACCAUGAAAAAUUAUUAAUUGUUUAGCAAUCUAAUUUUUGUGAUAUUACAUUUUUUACUCUUUUUAAAAAGCUGUGUUUUAAGUAUGCGGUGCGCAGUUUGAGGAAUCCUGUAAAUGUUUGUAAAUUCACCCAGAAAAUUAUUGAGCACAAAGCUCUGCCUUCAACCGGUAUAACCUUCUUGUUAUGUAAAUAUGUUUAUAAUUUCAGUUUUGCGAAUAAUGUUAAGUGGCACAUCAAAAAACAAGCUGUAAGAUAUAAAUAGUAAAAAGAUUAAGAUAUUU